UGGGGAAUAUUGCACAAUGGGCGCAAGCCUGAUGCAGCCAUGCCGCGUGUAUGAAGAAGGCCUUCGGGUUGUAAAGUACUUUCAGCGGGGAGGAAGGCGAUAAGGUUAAUAACCUUGUCGAUUGACGUUACCCGCAGAAGAAGCACCGGCUAACUCCGUGUCAGCAGCUGCGGUAAUACGGAGGGUGCAAGCGUUAAUCGGAAUUACUGGGCGUAAAGCGCACGCAGGCGGUCUGUCAAGUCGGAUGUGAAAUCCCCGGGCUCAACCUGGGAACUGCAUUCGAAACUGGCAGGCUAGAGUCUUGUAGAGGGGGGUAGAAUUCCAGGUGUAGCGGUGAAAUGCGUAGAGAUCUGGAGGAAUACCGGUGGCGAAGGCGGCCCCCUGGACAAAGACUGACGCUCAGGUGCGAAAGCGUGGGGAGCAAACA
rnacentral:rRNA from 1 species